UUUCCGUAGGUGAACCUGCGGAAGGAUCAUUACAGAGUUCAUGCCCUCACGGGUAGAUCUCCCACCCCUGAAUAUUUAUACCUUAGUUGCUUUGGCAGGCCGUGGAAACACCAUGGGCUCCGGCUUAUGCGUGCCUGCCAGAGGAAACAAACUCUGCUUUUAGUGAUGUCUGAGUACUAUAUAAUAGUUAAAACUUUCAACAACGGAUCUCUUGGUUCUG
rnacentral:misc_RNA from 1 species